rnacentral:rRNA from 1 species
AACGAACGCUGGCGGCGUGGAUAAGACAUGCAAGUCGAACGGGACUAAAUCUGUAGCAAUACAGGUUUAGUUUAGUGGCGAACGGGUGCGUAACACGUGGGCAAUCUGCCGAGAAGUGGGGGAUAGCUCGCCGAAAGGCGAAUUAAUACCGCAUAUGAUCAGCUAAGACAUCUUAGCGACAUCAAAGCCGGGGCAACCUGGCGCUUCUUGAUGAGCCCGCGGCCAUCAGCUAGUUGGUGAGGUAACGGCUCACCAAGGCUAUGACGGGUAGCUGGUCUGAGAGGACGACCAGUCACACUGGAACUGAGACACGGUCCAGACACCUACGGGUGGCAGCAGUGGGGAAUCUUGCGCAAUGGGGGAAACCCUGACGCAGCCAUGCCGCGUGAAUGAUGAAGGUCUUAGGAUUGUAAAAUUCUUUCAGCGGGGACGAUAAUGACGGUACCCGCAGAAGAAGCUCCGGCUAACUUCGUGCCAGCAGCCGCC